CCUUCAGCCAGGCACCACCGGGCAGCUUAGAACUAGUCUGCAGGCUCUAAAGGGAGGCUUGCCCUCUUUUCUCCGAGGUUGAUGGGAGCAGGUGACACCAGACACUAGAUGUAGGGAUGCCAGACCUUCUCGGUAGGAAGCUCCUCCUUGGAAUUUCUUCCCAGGUUAGUAUGUUCAGGGUACACAGGGCCAAGCGCCCUCAAAAAAAAAAGACACUGCAUAGAGGAGCUUGGAUGUCAGUGUGUCCUCAAAUUGGAGGCUGAAAGGGCUUAGGCUGGCUAUGACCGUAGCCUGAAGAUUCCUGAUGUGGAAGUGGCCCUAGGCCGCUUCCCUUUCCCUGGUCCUAUGAAGGUCAGUACUACCUUGUGGCCCACACUCCUGGUGGCCUCCUUAGAACCUUGUCUGUCAUUUAGAUUGCCUUUAGACCAGUCUCUCUCUGGCAUUGGGGCAGACUGCCCAGACCUUAGAGGAGCUCUCCUCUUUUGGCAGAGGCUAACUCUCUGUGGAACUUCCUGCUUCCACGUAGAUUCUACUAUGCCUUGAAGUUCUUGUCAUUGGAGUUCCUAACAGGGAAUUUCAGGAUCCAGAUGGGGAAGUUAUAGACCCAAGCAGGGAAGCCCAGUCGGGGACCUGAGUAGGGGGUCGCCUGGAAAAGAAAGGGAGAGUAAAACUUCAAGGGAACAGAUUUUGGCUAGAAUCCUGGGAGCUUGGGCUAGUGAUUGGCAUCUCAGGAAGAAGUUUGGGGGCCUAAACAAACAACAGCGACAACAACAACAAAAAACAGAGCAAAAUAAUACUAACCACGAUCCACACCUGUAGUGCGUCGGUGGUGUGACUUCAGCUCAGAGUGAUUUCCCAAACCCAUUCAAUUUUCCCAGUGGAGACAAGGUUUGGCAAGCAAGGCUUCGGCCUCCAUUUGGAAAAAGGCAGCCGAGCCCGGUUCUCCCACGUGUAGGUGGGAGUGAUCCAUUUGUAAUUCCCUAUGCAAGCGCCACUACAGGUACAGAUAUGCCACCUUUAAGGAAACAGGCCUCUCUUAGGGGAGUAUCUGAGAGACUCCACUGUGCAGGUCCCUGCAGUGAUAAGAGGGGAUCAGGGACUUCUGGUGGCAGAGGCUUUAAAUUUGGUGGUCUGAUUCUGUCUAGAACCAUUCGGAACAGACUAGCAUUGUCCACUUCGGGCAAUGCCUGGAUUUUAGGAAAGGCUGUAAAUUCCAAAGAAUUGUCUUUAUUCUGGAUAGACACUUAGACACACCCAGUGAGGUCACCAUCCUUGUGCAUCCAGAAAGGACAAGAAGUGCCACCCACUUAGAGUUGCCAACUGAGUUUGGAGAUGAGAUUCUAGGCACAACCCUAGUGACACGUUGUCACACCAGGGCACCCACACCCUGCACUCACGCUGAUGGCCCUGGCGGUACUUUAGUGCCUGAUCCCAAAUCACCCAUUGAAUAUUAACUCCCUCCAGGCCACAAACGGAGGAACAGCUGGGUAGAGCCGGCAGCUCUUUGGAGAGGGCCAGGUCUUGUGGAAUGCUCUUGAGAGCGGGUUUCUGUAGCAGGCAAGCCCCUCUACUUGCAGCCCGCCAGCAAUUCGGGCCAGAAUGCCACAAGCCAGGGAAAUGGGACGUGGAUAGCCAGGACCUCCAAGGUGCGUCCAGCGGCGGUACUCAAAAAUCUUUAUCCUUCUUUUUGGUUUCUAUUUCUCCCUACUACUAGAGGGCAGCUCGGGAUCCUACACUCCCCACCACCCACUGAAGGAAAAGUUCUCCCUGCACCAAAAUCUUCUAGGCUUCCACUGAUCCCACGUAGACAAGCUGGCGCCUGCAGACAGAGACGCACCCGGAGACAAAAACGCACAGACACCAACACCGGGAAGCACUCAGUGGGCACUCGUAGGCUCUAUCUCUGGUUGCCUUAUUUGCUGGGGCAGCUGCUGCCCUUCAACAGUCUAGGCGCAGUCGGGUUUCUUCUUCCCGGUGAUAUCUCACCGGCUUUAAGAACCUGGGGCAGUCGCUGCUGUCACCUCCUUCAGUUCUUCGGGGAGGCGCUCAGGUGCCCGAGGUUCAAACAACUCGGUGUACCUUCUCUAAGCCUCUUUUUCUCUGUAUGUGCAUCUCAGUCUCACCCUCCUCUCUCUCUUCCUCCCUCCCCUUUCUUUCUGUCCCCAUCUCCCUCCCCAGCCCCCAUUUUCCAUUUCUUUAGCCUUUCCAACCUAAUCUUCCAUUUUGUUUACUCCCCUGCCCUUUAAUCCAGGGCAGCCUGAAAGCUGUUCGCAAGCCAGGCAGGAGGAAGGAGGGAUGGCCAGGCGGGUCUCCAGUCUGGGAGUCACCACUUAGCGUUCUGCACCUGUGCUGUUUAGGGUCUGGGCUUCCCUCUGCCCACUCUCCAGUUUCAUUCCAUUCCCGUGGCCCUCGCUGUGGUUGGCUGGGGCCUGCAGGCUGACACUCUGUUCAAAUCUCUAGGGAGACUGAAGCUUGCAGUCACAGUAAGUCUUUGUCGCUUGCCUCUGGGCUUUUCUGUGGCAGGACGGCUCCCUGCCCUUGCCAGUUAGAGGUUCCCAUUUUCCUUUUAUGCUGUUCAGGGGCUUCUGGGCCAAAACUCACAGUGGAAGCCACACCAUACACAACACUAGGCUGACUCUGUGACUUGGAGGCUCAGUUUCUGCCAGGAGGGCCAAAGGCCUCACACAGUCACAGGUCAGCCCUCCUCCCAACCCGUCUUCAGUUUAUCCCUGGUCCGGAGGGAGCCUGGAAACUCUGGAGUAGAGCAUGGAAGAUUCUCUUGUGUGCUUUCAGAUGCAAAGCUCCUUUGUCUUCUGGGCCCUUUGAUUUCCCCAAAGGAAUACUCUGGACCCCUUCUUGAGUAACUUUCACUAUCUGCAGUCAGAAGGCUCUGGUGUUUAGAUUUAUAAUGAAAGGAACUCUCCCCCCUCUGACCAAAAUAAAAUUCUUCCAUCGCAUAUCCUUGGAGGCAGCAUUUCUCCAGCCCCUCAGAGAGUCAGUUCCUCGGGAAUGGGAAUAGCUGAACUGGGCUGCUGCCCAGCACUGCAUCCAGGGAGGACAAUUCUGAUAGAGUGCGGGGCUGGUCCUGUGUCUCCAGUGUCAUCUGAGCAUCAAGAGCAGGCAACCCUGGGCUUGCCUUUGAAGGAUGGGGCUUUUCUGGCUCAGAAGACAGGGCCUUUCUUUUGUCUUUUGUCAGGGAAGGCUACUGGUGGAAUCUCCUUUUCCCAUAGUUCCUGGUCAGGAAGCAUUCUUUCAGUGUGGGGGGGAGUGCAUUCACCAAGCCCCCCCAUCAAUUCCUCAGCAUCCUGUGUAGCUCCUCCUGUCCAUCUGCACACCUUCAUUGGUCCUGUACACAUUUCCAUGCCUUUUCCAUUCUCCUACGCACGUUAUCUUAACCGGUACAUUUAGAUAAUAUCAGAGCUGGCUGUUCUCACUUGGAAGAAAUUAAGUAUGUGAGAAAAGUUGCAGCUCCAACACGAAAAACCACCUAAAUUAAUAAUAAGGAUUUGUUCUGAAGCAGAAUUCAGUUGCAGCAGCCUCGUGGCGUUCUUUGUGAGUGAAGCUACUUUUAAGUAAAACAGCAGCUAUUCAUUAUAUAUUCUGUUUUAUUUUAUUUUAUGUUUUUAUUUUUUUAAAAAAAAUGGAUGCUGUCUUCGGGUUGGAGAGGGCAGCUGCAGAGGUGGUGGGGGAAGGCCUGCCUGGAACUCUCUGUGAGAAACAAACUAUUUUUGACGUGGGAAAGCCGAUGAAGUCCAUACAUCUGUGUUGUGGCACUUUCAUUUUGGAGUGCUGUGUAUUUUACCUGGGCUGAGACUUCCUCGUGUGAAUGAAUAGGGAUGGGUACUUGACGUACUGUUUGAAUAGUCUUUUUGAGGGGUGGCCAUUGCUCCUGGCCUAUUGUUUUACCAGAUUCUGCAGCCCAGGCUGUGUUUGUCCCUCACUCGGGUUCCCUUGUUUCUUCUGGUCUGUUGCCCUCACUUCUCUGACUCUGCCAGUUACAAUUCUGUCAUUGCGUUCUAGCCAGAAGGGACAUAGGAGCAUGCUGCCCUGCAGUCAGCUUUGUCUGUUCAGAGUGAGUGGAGCAGGGCUGUAUUUCCUAACAUGGGGCGGCGCCUGCCCCCGACAUCCUUUAUUUCCUGGGGAUCUGAAGAAUCUGGUACACGGGAUUCUUCCAAAGGAUGUGGGACGGGUAGGUCACAGAGAUGUGGUCCAACUAUUGGUUUAGUCUCAGGAUAUUUCACUUAACUUGGUAGUAUAAGUUGGUGUUAUCCAAGGGCCAGAGGUGGAGGAGGGAACAAGGCCCCGUAGUCACUAGGGAAAGAGUCUAGAACAGAAAUCCAUACCUACCUAGUGAUGAAAUUUACUGUUUUGCUAUAAGCCUUAUAAAUCCUUAUAUAAAUUUCUCAUCAAAGACAUUCAACCCUUUGUAGGUGAGGUCAGAAAGAGCCCCCUUUGGGGGUUGGUUUUCCCCCUAAGCCUCUGCACAGGGUGGUUCUUGAUUUUCUAGCUGGAUACUUCAUGUUUUCCAAUCACAAGGCUUCCUGCCCAGGUGAAGAUGUGGACCGUUGGCACAGACAGCACCUUGAAGACGAGGGUGUCAGUGGGAACUGCAGCUGUCACUCAUUCUGCUAUCUGACGUCAAGGAGGAUGUUCUCAGAAAGCAGAACCUGGGUGAAGGGGCGGGGCAUACUUGAAGAAGGACAUUUCCGCUGUCCAAUAGGACUGAAAAUCAGUGAGGACAGGUGGCCAUGGAUAUUGGUGGGAGUUCAAGCACUGAAGGUUUUCAGCCUCCGCGUUUCUCUGGAUGAAUAGUCCGGGGAUUCUCAUCAGCCUUCAGAGCUGAAGACAAUAAGGACCUCCUAAUGCCACAGGGCCAUGUGAAUGUCUGCAGGUCCUUAUUACCCCAGGUCUCAAGGACAGGGUGAUUUCUUUGGGACAAAUCUUUCAGUCUCUAAGAAGGAGGGCCUACUGUGUCUCCAGGGAUCACCACCAUCUCUGCUUGCACAAAGAAGGGGAGUUUGCCAGGGUUCCAGCUUUCAAAAAGUAGGGGCUUCUCCCUGGUGGUCCCUUCCAGUCUUUCUUUCUGUCCCAUCUCCAGUCCUUGGUGACUGUUGACUUCAGAACCCCUCUCUACCAGGAGCCCAUGCUGCUACACUAUGCUGGGACUCAGGCAGGGGACCGUCAUCUUUCAGUCUGGUCUCUUCAGGCUUACUCUUAGUCAAAAAGUAGAAUCACUGGGUCCAAGCUGCUACAAUUAUUAAUAUGUCAUAGUUUAUUCUGUGGGCUAUGGGCACAUAUAUGUAA